rnacentral:rRNA from 1 species
UACGUAGGUGGCAAGCGUUGUCCGGAUUUACUGGGCGUAAAGAGCGCGCAGGCGGUCGUUUAAGUCGAAUGUGAAAGCCCCCGGCUCAACUGGGGAGGGUCAUUCGAUACUGAUCGACUUGAAGGCAGGAGAGGGAAGUGGAAUUCCGGGUGUAGUGGUGAAAUGCGUAGAUAUCCGGAGGAACACCAGUGGCGAAGGCGACUCUUUGGCCUGUAACUGACGCUGAGGCGCGAAAGCGUGGGGAGCAAACAGG